rnacentral:lncRNA from 1 species
AUUGAAUUUUUUUUCCUGAGUAAAUUCUUGUACAUGAUCUCGUUGCUUAGCCUUGGGCGGAUAGGGGAGGUGCUGUCCGUUCGGCGUCUGUUCGACGCGCCCGAACCGGACCAAAUUGGUAGCGAUCUCAGGGCGUGAAAGAUAGUCGUGGUAUCAGAGCAAGUUAAGAGCAAGUAAAGAGAGUCUAGGAUGGACCUAGGAGACCUUAGGACGGUAGAUGUAAGGUACCGGACUUCUAAAAACAAUGAAGUUACGGUGUACAUUUAAGUAAUUCCGGUGAGGUUGCGGUGGAAUGUAAUAUAUCGGAUUUUAAAUGUAAAAGUAUAAAUAAAUAAAAAUAGUGUGGGAUACUAUUUUUAUUGGACUUAUAGACAUAAAUUAUAAGUCUAGAGUGACCCGUGUUGAAAUGGAAGCGAAAACAGAAGAUUUAGAAUUUUCUGUGAGAGACAGGGCAGACGAAAAAUAUCUGUACGUGCUGCUAAACUGAAUGUGAAUAGUGUUCUUAGAUAACUUGGAGGCCAAGUUUCCU